rnacentral:rRNA from 1 species
AGGACGAACGCUGGCGGCGUGCUUAACACAUGCAAGUCGAGCGGAAAGGCCCUUCGGGGUACUCGAGCGGCGAACGGGUGAGUAACACGUGGGUAAUCAACCCCUGACAUCGGGAUACCCCGGGGAAACCCGGAUCAAUACCGAAUAAGGUGCGGAGCCGCAGGGCGCCGUACCAAAGGUAGCUUCGGCCUCCGGUCAGGGACGAGCCCGCGGCCCAUUAGCUUGUUGGUGAGGUAACGGCUCACCAAGGCGACGAUGGGUAGCUGGUCUGAGAGGAUGAUCAGCCACACUGGGACUGAGACACGGCCCAGACUCCUACGGGAGGCAGCAGUGGGGAAUCUUGCACAAUGGGCGAAAGCCUGAUGCAGCAACGCCGCGUGCGGGAAGAAGGCCCUCGGGUUGUAAACCGCUUUCAGAAGGAACGAAACUGACGGUACUUUCAGAAGAAGGUGCGGCCAACUACGUGCCAGCAGCCGC